UACAGAGGGGGCAAGCGUUGUUCGGAAUUACUGGGCGUAAAGGGCGCGUAGGCGGCCCGCUAAGUCGAACGUGAAAUCCCCGGGCUCAACCCGGGAACUGCGUCCGAUACUGGUGGGCUUGAAUCCGGGAGAGGGAUGCGGAAUUCCAGGUGUAGCGGUGAAAUGCGCAGAUAUCGGGAAGAACACCCGUGGCGAAGGCGGCUCUCUGGUACGUGACUGACGCUGAGACGCGAAAGCGUGGGGAGCGAACAGG
rnacentral:rRNA from 1 species